UCAGGUAGGGAUACCCGCUGAACUUA
rnacentral:rRNA from 3 species